GCACGUCGCCAAACCAGCACCACAGUACAGGAGGACAAUCCAGAGGAGGGACCCUCUGCUGCUGCAGGGACCCCUGCACCCAGCAGCCCUGCGGACUCAGACAUAACUGCCAGCCAAGACACAGACCCUGGUGAAGGACCAUGCACACGGCCACCCUCAGUUGUCUCAGGAGCCACAUCAGAGUCACCCACCCUGGGGGAGGAUGAAGACCAGCAGGGGGAGGAGCAACAGAGAGAUGAGGAGGGAGAUGCUGAUUAUGGGGAAAGGCCACUCAGAAGGCCCCCUCAGCGAG